rnacentral:rRNA from 1 species
CCUACGGGUGGCAGCAGUGAGGAAUAUUGGGCAAUGGAGGCAACUCUGACCCAGCCAUGCCGCGUGAGUGAAGAAGGUUUUCGGAUUGUAAAGCUCUUUCGGAUGUGACGAUGAUGACGGUAGCAUCUAAAGAAGCCCCGGCUAACUUCGUGCCAGCAGCCGCGGUAAUACGAAGGGGGCAAGCGUUAUCCGGAUUUAUUGGGCGUAAAGGGAACGCAGGCGGUCUUUUAAGUCUGAUGUGAAAGCUUUCGGCUUAACCGGAGUAGUGCAUUGGAAACUGGGAGACUUGAGUGCAGAAGAGGAGAGUGGAACGCCAUGUGUAGCGGUGAAAUGCGUAGAUAUAGGGCAGAACACCAGUGGCGAAGGCAGCUCUCUGGUCUGUAACUGACGCUGAGGUUCGAAAGCGUGGGUAGCAAACAGGAUUAGAUACCCGGGUAGUC